rnacentral:rRNA from 1 species
GAUGAACGCUGGCGGCGUGCCUAAUACAUGCAAGUCGAGCGAACGGACGAGAAGCUUGCUUCUCUGAUGUUAGCGGCGGACGGGUGAGUAACACGUGGAUAACCUACCUAUAAGACUGGGAUAACUUCGGGAAACCGGAGCUAAUACCGGAUAAUAUUUUGAACCGCAUGGUUCAAAAGUGAAAGACGGUCUUGCUGUCACUUAUAGAUGGAUCCGCGCUGCAUUAGCUAGUUGGUAAGGUAACGGCUUACCAAGGCAACGAUGCAUAGCCGACCUGAGAGGGUGAUCGGCCACACUGGAACUGAGACACGGUCCAGACUCCUACGGGAGGCAGCAGUAGGGAAUCUUCCGCAAUGGGCGAGAGCCUGACGGAGCAACGCCGCGUGAGUGAUGAAGGUCUUCGGAUCGUAAAACUCUGUUAUUAGGGAAGAACAUAUGUGUAAGUAACUGUGCACAUCUUGACGGUACCUAAUCAGAAAGCCACGGCUAACUACGUGCCAGCAGCCGCGGUAAUACGUAGGUGGCAAGCGUUAUCCGGAAUUAUUGGGCGUAAAGCGCGCGUAGGCGGUUUUUUAAGUCUGAUGUGAAAGCCCACGGCUCAACCGUGGAGGGUCAUUGGAAACUGGAAAACUUGAGUGCAGAAGAGGAAAGUGGAAUUCCAUGUGUAGCGGUGAAAUGCGCAGAGAUAUGGAGGAACACCAGUGGCGAAGGCGACUUUCUGGUCUGUAACUGACGCUGAUGUGCGAAAGCGUGGGGAUCAAACAGGAUUAGAUACCCUGGUAGUCCACGCCGUAAACGAUGAGUGCUAAGUGUUAGGGGGUUUCCGCCCCUUAGUGCUGCAGCUAACGCAUUAAGCACUCCGCCUGGGGAGUACGACCGCAAGGUUGAAACUCAAAGGAAUUGACGGGGACCCGCACAAGCGGUGGAGCAUGUGGUUUAAUUCGAAGCAACGCGAAGAACCUUACCAAAUCUUGACAUCCUUUGACAACUCUAGAGAUAGAGCCUUCCCCUUCGGGGGACAAAGUGACAGGUGGUGCAUGGUUGUCGUCAGCUCGUGUCGUGAGAUGUUGGGUUAAGUCCCGCAACGAGCGCAACCCUUAAGCUUAGUUGCCAUCAUUAAGUUGGGCACUCUAAGUUGACUGCCGGUGACAAACCGGAGGAAGGUGGGGAUGACGUCAAAUCAUCAUGCCCCUUAUGAUUUGGGCUACACACGUGCUACAAUGGACAAUACAAAGGGCAGCGAAACCGCGAGGUCAAGCAAAUCCCAUAAAGUUGUUCUCAGUCCGGAUUGUAGUCUGCAACUCGACUACAUGAAGCUGGAAUCGCUAGUAAUCGUAGAUCAGCAUGCUACGGUGAAUACGUUCCCGGGUCU